rnacentral:rRNA from 1 species
AGAGUUUGAUCAUGGCUCAGAUUGAACGCUGGCGGAAUGCUUUACACAUGCAAGUCGAACGGCAGCACGGGGCAACCUGGUGGCGAGUGGCGAACGGGUGAGUAAUACAUCGGAACGUGCCCAAUCGUGGGGGAUAACGUAGCGAAAGUUACGCUAAUACCGCAUACGAUCUACGGAUGAAAGCGGGGGAUCGCAAGACCUCGCGCGAAUGGAGCGGCCGAUGUCAGAUUAGGUAGUUGGUGGGGUAAAGGCUCACCAAGCCAACGAUCUGUAGCUGGUCUGAGAGGACGACCAGCCACACUGGAACUGAGACACGGUCCAGACUCCUACGGGAGGCAGCAGUGGGGAAUUUUGGACAAUGGGCGCAAGCCUGAUCCAGCCAUUCCGCGUGCAGGAUGAAGGCCUUCGGGUUGUAAACUGCUUUGUACGGAACGAAACGGUCUGCCCUAAUACGGCGGGCUAAUGACGGUACCGUAAGAAUAAGCACCGGCUAACUACGUG